UACGUACGAGGCGAGCGUUAUCCGGAAUUACUGGGCGUAAAGCGCGCGCAGGCGGACCAUUAAGUUGGGCGUGAAAUCUCCCGGCCUAACUGGGAGGGGUCGCCCAAGACUGGUGGUCUUGAGGACAGCAGAGGUGGGUGGAAUUCCUGGCGUAGUGGUGAAAUGCGUAGAUAUCAGGAGGAACACCUGUGGCGAAAGCGGCGCACUGGACCACAACUGACGCUGAGGCGCGAAAGCUAGGGGAGCAAACAGG
rnacentral:rRNA from 1 species